UACGUAGGGUGCGAGCGUUAAUCGGAAUUACUGGGCGUAAAGCGUGCGCAGGCGGUUCGUUGUGUCGGCGGUGAAAUCCCAGGCUUAACCUGGGAAGUGCGCGGAAAACUGGCGAGCUUGAAUGCCGGAGAGGGUCGGAAUUCCCGGUGUAGAGGUGAAAUUCGUAGAUAUCGGGAGGAACACCAGUGGCGAAGGCGGCGACCUGGACGGACAUUGACGCUGAGACGCGAAAGCGUGGGGAGCAAACAGG
rnacentral:rRNA from 1 species